rnacentral:rRNA from 1 species
AUUGAACGCUGGCGGCAGGCCUAACACAUGCAAGUCGAGCGAGCGGCGGACGGGUGAGUAAUGUCUGGGAAACUGCCUGAUGGAGGGGGAUAACUACUGGAAACGGUAGCUAAUACCGCAUAACAUCAGAUGUGCCCAGAGGGGCGUAGCUAGGAGGUGGGGUAACGGCUCACCUAGGCGACGAUCCCUAGCUGGUCUGAGAGGAUGACCAGCCACACUGGAACUGAGACACGGUCCAGACUCCUACGGGAGGCAGCAGUGGGGAAGUUUGCACAAUGGGCGAAAGCCUGAUGCAGCCAUGCCGCGUGUGUGAAGAAGGCUUUCGGGUUGUAAAGCACUGUCAGCGGGGAGGCGUUACCCGCAGAGGAAGCACCGGCUAACUCCGUGCCAGCAGCCGCGGUAAUAC